rnacentral:lncRNA from 9 species
AUAUAAAAAAGAUCACACACUACAGCCAAGUGGGAUUCAUCCCAAGUUCAAAAGGAUGGUUCAACAUAUGCAAAUCAAUCAACAUCAUACACCACAUUAACAAAAGUCAAAAACCACAUGAUCAUCUCAGUAGAUGCCAAAAAAGCAUUUGACAAAAAUUCAGCAUCCAUUCAUGAUCAAAACUCUUACCAAAGUGGGUAUAGAGGGAACAUACCUUAACAUAAUAAAGCCAUUUAUUGCAAACCCACUGCCAAUGUAAUAGUCAACGGAGAAAAGCUAAAAGCCUUCCCACUAAAAUUGGAACAAGACAAGGAUGCCCACUGUCACCACUUUUAUUCAACAUGGUACUGGAAGUCCUAGCCACAGCAGUCAGACAAAAGAAAUAAAAGGUUUCCAAAAUGGAAGAGAAGAGAUACAAUUUUCACUCUGUGCAGAUGACGGGAUACUAUAUAUAGAAAACUGUAAGGACUCAACUCCAAAACUACUCAACCUGAUCAAUGAAUUUAGCAGAGUAGCAGGAUACAAGAUUAACAUUCAGAAAUCAGAUGCAUUUCUAUAUACUAACAACAAAAUACUAGAAAAGGAAUAGAAAAAUACAAUGCCUUUUAAGAUCACACCCCAAAAAAUCAGAUACCUAGGAAUGAACCUGACCAAAGAAGUGAAAGUCUUGUAUGCUGAGAACUAUAAAAGAUAAAUCAAGGAAAUUAAAGAGGAUUCAAAGAAAUGGAAAGAUAUUCUAUGUGCCGGGGUUGGAAAAAUUAAUAUCGUAAAAAUGGCCAUACUACCCAAAGCAAUCUACGGAUUCAGUGCAAUCCCCAUCUAAUUUACCAUGACAUUUUUCACAGAACUAGAACUAACAAUCCAAAAAUGCAUACGGAACCAUAAAAGAUCCAGAAUUGCCAAAGCAAUCCUGAGGAACAAAAACCAAGCAGGAGGCAUAACUCUCCCAGACCUCAGUCAAUAUUACAAAGCCACAGUCAUCAAGACAGUGUGGCACUGGUACCAAAACAGAUAUACUGACCAAUGGAACAAAUAGAGAACCCGGAAAUAAAUCCAUUCACCUAUGGUCAAUUAAUCUUUGACAAAGGAAGCAAGAACAUAAAAUGGGGAGAAGACAGCCUUUUCAGCAAGUAUUGCUGGGAAAUGUGGAUAGCUGCAUGCAAAUCAAUGAAACUAGAACACACCCUCACACCAGGCACAAAAAUAAACUCAAAAUGGCUGAAAGACUUAAACAUAAGAAGACAACAUAAAACUGGACGAGAACGUAGGCACACCAUUCUCCGACAUCAACCACACAAAUGUUUUCUUAGGCUAGUCUCCUAAGGCAACAGAAAUGAUACCAAAAAUAAACCAGUGGCACCUAAUCAAACUUAUAAGCUUUUGCACAGCAAAGGAAACCAUAAAAAAAGGACAACUUGCAGAAUGGGAGAAAAUACUGGCAAAUGACGCAACCAACAAGGGCUUAGUCUUCAAAUUAUCAAACAAUUCAUACAGCUCAAGAGCAACAAAACAACUCAAUUGAAAAUGGGCAGAGGACCUAAAUAGUUCUCCAAAGAAGACAUACAGAUGGCCAAUAAGCACAUGAAAAUAUGCUCAACACCACUAAUUAUUAGAGAAAUGCAAACCAAAACUACAACGAGGUACCAUCUUACACUGGUCAGAAUGGCCAUCAUUACCAAGUCAACAAAUUACAAAUGCUCGUGAGGGUGUGGAGAAAAGGGACCCUUCCUACAGUGUUGGUCAGAAUGUAAACUGGAACAACCAUUAUGGAAAACAGCAUGGAGGUACCUCAGAAAACUAAAUCUAGAACUACCAUAUGAUCCAGCAGUCCCACUCCUGGGACUAUAUCCAGUCAAAGCUUUCACUGGAAAAGAUGUUCACGGCAGCACUGUUCACAACAGCCAAGACAUGGAAACUGCAGCACUAUUCACAACAGCCAAGACAUGGAAACAACCUACAUGUCCAUCAACAGAUGAGCGGAUAGAGAAGAUGUGCUGGUAUAGACAAUGGAAUACUACUAAGCCAGAAAAAACCAAAAGAAUGCCACUUGCAGCAACAUGGAUGGAACUAGAGAUUCUCAUACUCAGUGAAUGGCCUCUGCGAGUCCCAGAGAGACAGCAGAAGGAAACUGGGUUCCACUGGGUUCAUACUGGCCAAGAAGGAAGACAGGAGAGAAAAAGAAGGAGAAAACAGAAACUAAUGUUAAGUGAGUACCUAUAAUGUGUCAAGCACGUAUAUUUCUCAUUUAAUCCUAAUAAUCCCUCAAACUAGGUAAUCGUAUCCACAUUUUGCUCAGAGCAAAACCUCUCACAUGCCCUGGUUCACCUUGGCCGCACAGCAGACAGACAAACCUUUUCUAAGUGAGAGGGAUGUGGUGCCCCCCAAAUUUAACACAUGUGAAAAUUUUCACUACGCACCUCUAAUUUGCCAAUGAUGCAUGAUCUUUUAGAACCUGUUCCUUCUUAGCAAGGUAGCUCUGACUUACCAGAGUCAUUAUAAGGUGAGAGGGCAACUGACGAGGGAUUUCCUAACCCGUGCUGUGUGAGGAUCCAGGAGGAAUGGAAGAACAGAGCAGUGGAGAGUAAAGAGUUUUUAAAAAGACAUUCCCAUUGAUGGUCAUGCGAGGGAAAGUUUCGGUCCCCACCAGCCAGAUGGCCAGAGAGGAGGAGACGUUUAAAGACAUCAUAGAGAAAGGGACCUCUUGCCCCAAGGGGGCCGUCUUCCCGUGGCUUUCUGCUUGGAAGCUCUCCCCUCCCAGAUGAGAAGCUGAGGGAUUGAGUUCCUGACCUCCGAGAGGGGAACGCAGUGACCCACCAGCCAGAACCUUCAGAGACCCAAAUGACGCCAGAACAGCAAGUGGGAAUAAGAAAGGCUUAGAACACAUAGGACUGGCCGUUAUUUGGACAGUGUAGCCAAUAGCGGAUCUGCUUUAGGCAGGAGAUCUGACCAAGGACCACGGUGUUGGACCGGCCGCUGCAGGAAGGGGGCGUGGGCGAGGUUGAAGGUAGGAAGGUCACCUCUUGUAGAAGCAGGAACACACAGACCACCGGGUAGGAGAGGAGAUACGGGAAACCAGUCUUGGGACAUCGAGGCCUGGAGAUGAUAGCUGAUAACGAAGCACUAGAAGUGUCACCUCGAAAUACAGGGCCAACAUGGAGGUCCCGUUGUGGCCCAGGGGAAAUGAAUCCGACUUGUAUCCAUGAGGAUGCGGGUUCGAUCCCUGGCCUCGCUCAGUGGGUUGGGGAUACAGCGUUGCCGUGAGCUGUGGUGUAGGUCGCAGACACGGCUGUCCCACUUUGCUGUGGCUGUGCCGUAGGCUGGCAACUGCAGCUCCCCUUCGCUCCCUAGCCUGGAAACCUCCAGAUGCUGCAAGUGCAGCCCUAAAAAGACACAGAAAAGGUAGGGGCAGCAAGUCUUGGCUUGUGAUAGAUCAAAAGCAACUACAUGAGAAGUCCGAGGGCUUCUAGAGCCACCAGCAACUGAAGAGGAUUCAAAUAAAGCCUAAAAAGUGGAGAACUCUGGUUGGCAAAAAAGAACAUUUGAACAAGAAGAGUUGGGACACAGAAACAGGGAGAAAUGCAGGGAGUUAGUAUUUUCUGAGCACUAAUUAUGUCUGACACUGUGCUAAGUACUUCUUGUUUAGAACUCAGAUCCACCCAAGAAAGUAAGAGAUACCGUCCCCAUUUUAGGACAAGAAGGCUGAGGCCUGGAUUCCAGGCUUUGCUGAAGUUGGGAAGACUCCAUGUGAGAUUAACAGAAAGAACAGAGGCAGGGAAUAGGGGAACCCUGUAAGAGGGCGUUAGCGGAUGCUUUUAACGGUUAUCUUACACUAAGAUAAACAAAAUCAAGAAAACUUACUCUUGGGCCCGGUGCUCCAGGUGGACCCUAUAACAACAAAUUUUGGAAAGUAUUUAGUAACUAUCUCCAACCAGACAGGCAUGUAAGCAUCAACAGUGAACAGAAGUAAAAUAAACUCACGGGAGGCCCUGGUUUUCCUCUUGGUCCCUGGGGGCCCUGGGGGAAAUGGAGAUGGAUGUGUUAUGCUUCUGGGUUGGUACCAGGCAGCCAGGGUUCAACUCCCAUCAUUGCCUUUCCUGUGAGGCAAAUCCUAAGAUUCAAAGUGGCUUUAGUAUCUUGAAGUUCUGUGUUCUUGAACUCAGCUGUCCCCCACAUUCGUGAACAAACUGAACACACCUGCUCAUGUUUUGUUGAUAUUACUAGAAACUAAAUUUAUCCACUUUAAUAAACUUAUAAAUGCAACACUUUAAAACGUUAGUAUUACCUAAGUAUGCUUUUCCUGUCACUUCUGUCUGCCUCCACCUAACUGUCAAGAAUGGAAACUUCAGUGUCCUUAAUCAUCGCCCUUUCCUCGGACUCCCCCGCGGUCUGGUCACCCACUACUGUGGGUUCCCCUCCUAAUCCUUCUAAAAUACUGCUUCCCCACCCUUGCAGCAGCUGUCCUGGUUCAGCGAUCAUAUGCUACGGAUUGAAUGUUUGUGUCUCUUCCCGCAUCAUACACUGAAGCCCUCACUUCCAGCGUGACGGUAUUGAGAGGUGGCGCCUGUGUGAGUGGCAGAGUCCGUACAAGGCGGGACGCGAGAGGGAGAUGUGAGGUCCCAGCAAGAAGGCGCCUCCGCAGACCAGGCAGAGGCCCCUCCUCAGAGGUGGAAGCUGGUAGCUCCUUCACCUUGGAGUUCCCAGUCUCCAGAACUAUGAAAACGAAAUGUUUAAGCCACUCGGUUUAUGGCACUUUGGCGUAAGCGCUCUAGCUAAGGCGUCACGUUGUGCCUGGACUUGGCUUUCUGACUUUGUUCUCUCUGCUGUGCUAACUGUAUUCUACUUACAAAAUGGAUAGCUCAUCAUGCCAUUACUUGGUUAAAAUCAUUCUGUGGCUUAGUGGAUACAGAAUAAAGUUCUUAACAGUGAGAGCUACCAUUCCCU